ACGAUAAAAAUGACGGUUAUUUUCGUCUGUAUUACUAUUCAACUGUAACUGUAUGUUACUAUGGUUACCGAUGUUUAUAGGAAGCACAUUAAUAUAGAACGUGAUUAAACUGACCUGGAACUACCUGCAGUUCAACGAAUUUAAUCAACACCUGCCAGCCAAUCAGAAUCCAGUAUUCAGACAGACCAUGGCAUAAAGCGGUAUGUUCUUAUUUUUACCAGCUUCUGCGAGCGUGUAUGGCGUCUGGCUUCAGAAUCUCACUGUGACUUCAGGUAAGAUUUGUAUUUAAUUAACGUUAUUUGUCUGUACCAGUCAUGUUUUUGACGCAUGCAUUGGCAGAAAAAAAUAAAAUAAAAUUAGUUAACAUUAACAUUCUUUUAUUUGCAACAUGAAGUGUAUUUAUUUCUGAUUUCCUGAACAAUUUGGCUUCAUUGUAAUGAGGUUAAUGAUCUUUGAAAAACCAUGAUUAUGAACAUACAAUUACCGUACUUUGUCUUGAGCUGAUCAGCAAACUGUGGUAGUGUUGGUUGAUUGGUGUCUAUAUUUGUUCAAGCUUGACAACCUUAUGACUUUAUUUUCUAAUAUAUAUAUUUCUCAUUACAGAUAAGAACAAAGAUUAAAUUGUAAGAAGGGUUGCUUAUAAAAGCAUACAGUACAUCUGAAACUGCUGAGGCUGGGAAGGUUUUUGACUAUAUUUCCAACCAGAUCAGCUGCUAUAGAAGAAAAAAUGAAAUCUGAGUGCAGAGACAAGCAAAGGAAUACUGCAAGACACUACUGACUAGGCUGUGCCCAGGUCUCUGGAACCUGCGACAACGCUCAGCUCCAUUGGCCCUUAGUCUGCGGCUUCGGAUCCACCAGCUCUGUCUCCAUCGGUCGGCAGCCACACCAUCUACAUCUUGGCUCCCCGCUCCCUCGACUCCGCCGUGUGUUGUCAGCAUUGGGAUGCUCUGGGUCUGUGCCAUGUGCCAAACACCAUCUAAGCCGCCAGGGCAUCAUCGUCAUCCUCUCAUCACCAUCCCUACACCACAUCCUGCCAUCAUCCUGCACCUUUGCCUCUCACCAUCCCUUCACCAUCUCCUUGUCCACCUCCAAAACCCCUCCAUCCCUCACUAUUCUGUUGCUUGAACUUUAUCAUCUUCAGUCUUUGCACACACAUCUAUUCACUUUACAUGUUUUUUUUUCUUCAGAAAAUUGCAUUGUAAUU